UACAGGACACUCACGCGACCAGCCCUCACGCCUAAACGCAUCUCACUAUCGUUCCCCAAACUCACACGCAUGCCACAUCUCGUAUGCCUCUGCGAUGCGGCCGCCGCCACCAGCUCUUCCGGCCGCCGCCGGCCAAGUUCGUCGCCGCCACACACCAGCGCAGCUCCGCCUCGCUCUCCUCCGUAGGAUUCCUGCAGAAUCGACGCUCACACUCACCCGUGCGCGCUCUGGCGGCUAACCCUAGCCCCGAUCUUGGCUCGGCCGCCGGCGUUGUUCCGGCGUCGCCGCGUGUCAGCGUAUCUCCGCCACGUACUCCUCCCCGGAAUCUUCAUUGGUACCCCCUCUCUCUACGCCCUCGCCUGCAACCCCGCGCAGCCCUAGUCGCGGGUCGGUAUGGUCACCGCCGGCCGCUACCGGCUCCGACGCCUCCGGCUGCUCCCCUCCAUCGACAAGGCCACCUCUAAGCCGACUACCCACUUCAUCGUUUUACCUAACUUCGACGCCGGCGGGACGACAUUGGCUGCAAUACUGGCGCCGCGGUCCGCUGCUUUGUGGCCCUGCUGCUCUGGUGGUAUUGCUAGUGGUGAUGUGCUGCUGGGUGGUGUUGGUGUGAUGUGGUAGUGUUGCUCCUGAUGUGGUGCUUCUGCGACAAUCGUUGCCGCACCACCUGCUACAGCCUUGAUGCUGGCGGGACGGUGCCGUGGACGCAACCCCGACAUCGACUACAUCGCGUACUCCAUAGAUAUCACUGUGAUAAGUUAAACAAGAUGAUCUGGGAACGUGGACGAAGGUUAUGAGCUUCAAGAUUUAGUUCUAGGAAUUUAUUUCCUUUUCUUGUACUUGUACUUGUAUUUUAUAUUCUUAUAUUUUAUUCUUUUGUAAAAACAAUAUAUAAUUGUGUGUUGAUUAAUAAAUCUGUAAUUUCCCUUA